GCUGCCCCUACAGGCACUGCAGAUAUGGUUGCUGUGUCACAUGUGUGUCAGCAGGUGGCAGAGAGGAGAAAGGCUAUGUCUACACUCCGUGUUCUGACCUAUGGACAUUUGAAUAGUUAGUAGCCUAACAUU